GUACAUAUCACCUAGAAAUCUUAUUAAAAUGCAGAUUCUAACUCGGUACAUAGGAGUCUGAGAUGCUGAAUUUUUAAUAAGCACCUUGACAAUGCU
rnacentral:miRNA from 1 species